GUGCCAGCCGCCGCGGUAAUACAGAGGCCUCGAGCGUUAGGCGGAAUCACUGGGCUUAAAGCGUGUGUAGGUGGAUGCCUAAGUGCCUUGUGAAAUCCCACGGCUUAACCGUGGAAUUGCUGGGCAUACUGGGUGUCUUGAGCCACUCAGGGGCUACCGGAACAAAUGGUGGAGCGGUGAAAUGCGUAGAUAUCAUUUGGAACGCCAAUGGUGAAAACAGGUAGCUGGGGGUGUGCUGACACUGAGACACGAAAGCCAGGGGAGCAAACGGGAUUAGAUACCCCCGUAGUCC
rnacentral:rRNA from 1 species